rnacentral:tRNA from 1 species
GUGAGUGUAGCUCAGCUUGGCAGAGCACCGGGUUGUGGCCUCGGUGGUCGAGGGUUCAAAUCCCUUCACUCACCCCA